rnacentral:rRNA from 1 species
UACGAAGGGGGCUAGCGUUACUCGGAAUUAUUGGGCGUAAAGCGUGCGUAGGCGGUUUAGUAAGUUAGAAGUGAAAGCCUGGGGCUCAACCCCAGAACUGCUUUUAAAACUGCUUGACUAGAGUACUAGAGGGGAUAGCGGAAUUCUUAAUGUAGAGGUAAAAUUCAUAGAUAUUAGGAGGAACACCGGGAGCGAAAGCGGCUAUCUGGCUAGUAACUGACGCUGUUGCACGAAAGCGUGGGGAGCAAACAGG